GGUCGAUCGUACAAGGCCGAGGAAAAGGGGUAAACCCUAAUUCUCAAGAAAUCUCCAAAUUGAAAAGGGAAUUGAAGGUUUUUAGGAUGCAUGUAUCAAGAUUAUCGAUCUCCUAAGUGUUCUUCACUAUCAAGAUCAUGUUAAGAUGGGAAAGCAUGGAAGGCAAGCUGAAAGGAUAUGAGGAAGCAUGUACGAAACGGGCAUUCGAGGUAUGUUAACAUCGAGUUCAUGAAGAAUGGAAGUCGAACUCGGAACAAGAGAAUUUAAGAGGAUGAUCACAUGAAUUAAGUUUAUAUUAUUGAAUGUUAUACGUUUUUAUUUAUAUAAUAAUAAAGUUGUGAUGUUGUCGAUGACUAAUGGUUAAGUUGUAAAUGGUGUCCACAGGAAUUACACGGAUUUUCUCUAUUAUGAACGAAGUUAAGCGGGCGCAGAUCGAGUCAAGGAGCAAGGAUUGUACGGAAGAAUGGUCACCUAGUUUGGAUUAUGUAUCAUAUGUAGUUUUGUUUAUCAUGAAAGUAGUUAAUUGUUUUAGUAAAUAUCAGACAUUUUGUAUUGGAGUCUUUAUGUAAGCAAUGUAUUUAGUAAAGAAAGAAUUUUUUUA